rnacentral:rRNA from 1 species
AUGUCAGGGCCCACCGCUAUUAACGAUGAGCUUUUCUUCCCAAUUGAAAGUGCUUUACAACCCUAAGGCCUUCUUCACACACGCGGCAUGGCUGCGUCAGGCUUUCGCCCAUUGCGCAAUAUUCCCC